UACGUAGGGGGCAAGCGUUGUUCGGAAUUACUGGGCGUAAAGGGCGCGUAGGCGGCACGGCAAGUCGGGCGUGAAAGGCCUGGGCUCAACCGAGGAACUGCUUUCGAGACUGCCGAGCUAGAGUGCGGAAGGGGCAACCGGAAUUCCCAGUGUAGCGGUGAAAUGCGUAGAUAUUGGGAAGAACACCUGAGGCGAAGGCGGGUUGCUGGGCCGACACUGACGCUGAGGCGCGAAAGCCAGGGGAGCAAACGGG
rnacentral:rRNA from 1 species